rnacentral:RNase_P_RNA from 1 species
AUCGCAGACCGCCUUAUCGUCGCCAAUUUAUUGGGGAAGGAAAGUCCGGACACCACAGAGAAGCAUAGCGGGUAACUCCCGUCAGUUCAAGAAAUUGGAUUAGGACAAGUGCAACAGAAAGCAGGUACAGGUAAUGCUGUAGUGAAACCAGGUAAACUCUAUGCGGUGAAAUUUCAAGUAUAUCGACAUUUAAGGGCUUCUCGCUCGUUGUCGAAGGGUAGAAAGAUGGAGUGCGUGAGUAAUUGCGUGCCUAGAUAAAUGAUAAGGCUACAUUCAUUUGUAGACAGAAUCCGGCUUAUAGGUCUGCUUUUUUA